rnacentral:rRNA from 1 species
CGGGCCGCGGUACCCUAACCGUGCAAAGGUAGCAUAAUCCCUUGUUCUUUAAAUAAGGACUUGUAUCAACGGCAUCACGAGGGUUCUACUGUCUCCUCUCUCUAAUCGGUGAAACUGAUCUCCCUAUGAAAAAGUGGGGAUAAACUUAUAAGACGAGAAGACCCCAUGGAGCUUUAAAACCUAUAGCAACCUAGCAAACACUUCCAUUUAGCUAUAAAACUAUGCUCAAGGACUUUAGGUUGGGAGGACCACGGAGCACAAAAUAACCUCCGCAAUGAAAAGAAUAAAAUCUUUACCAAAGAGCCACAACUCCAAGAAUUAGAAAACUAACGUACAAUGACCCGAUAUCGAUCAAUGAACUAAGUUACCCUGGGGAUAACAGCGCAAUCCAUUCUGAGAGUUCAUAUCGACGAACGGGCUUACGACCUCGAUGUUGGAUCAGGGUAUCCUGGUGGUGCAGCCGCUACCGAAGGUUCGUUUGUUCAACGAUU